rnacentral:rRNA from 1 species
CCAGACUCCUACGGGAGGCAGCAGUGGGGAAUAUUGGGCAAUGGACGCAAGUCUGACCCAGCAACGCCGCGUGAAGGAAGAAGGCUUUCGGGUUGUAAACUUCUUUUAAGGGGGAAGAGCAGAAGACGGUACCUCUUGAAUAAGCUCCGGCUAACUACGUGCCAGCAGCCGCGGUAAUACGUAGGGAGCGAGCGUUGUCCGGAUUUACUGGGUGUAAAGGGCGUGCAGCCGGGAGUACAAGUCAGAUGUGAAAUCCCGCGGCUCAACCGCGGAACUGCAUUUGAAACUGUAUUUCUUGAGUACUGGAGAGGCAGACGGAAUUCCUAGUGUAGCGGUGAAAUGCGUAGAUAUUAGGAGGAACACCAGUGGCGAAGGCGGUCUGCUGGACAGCAACUGACGGUGAGGCGCGAAAGCGUGGGGAGCAAACAGGAUUAGAUACCCCAGUA